AUGUUUCAGCAGAAAAGAUGCAAGUUUUCUCUCGUCUCGGCCUUCGCCCGUUGUCAGUCAGAGACACCGCCCCUUCUGCCCCCUCCUCUCCGGCGACCCCUUGAAAAAAAAAACCUGCUCUCCGGCGGUUCUCCCCCGCUCCCAAACGCCGCUGUCCAGUCUCGCCCGGGCCCGAUGGAUCGUCGGAGGGUUCGACGCUUAGGGGCUGCCAUGCACCCCCUCCUCGCAGCUGCGGCCAGUGACGGUGCCACUCCCAGCACCGCCGCCGCCUCUCAAACCCGCGGCGGGAGCUCCGCAAGUGCCGUCAGGCUCGACGUCGAAGCUGACAUCGACCAGGGGACAUCAUACUUUGCUGAUGAGCAGCACAAGAGGGUGGCAUCUGGGAGCUCUUCAGCGAGGCUCAGCGGAAAGAAACACCAGGAAGGCGUGAAGAGUACAGAAGAACUAGGCUACAACAGACUGUACAGAAGAAUUAGGCUACAACAGAAGCUCGUACUAUGGAUCAACACAGACAUGUCUCUUUCUCAAGUUCUUGGCGACAUCAAGAAUGACCGUUCCUGGUGGGGUUUGCGGAUGAAGGAUGCAGUGGCAAACGGUUUAUCAUGGGAUGCAAAGUGCUAUGCAAUACAUUGGGAAGCUUAUUCAUGUAUAAGGAAGCUCUGA
rnacentral:rRNA from 1 species